rnacentral:rRNA from 1 species
AACGAACGCUGGCGGCAGGCUUAACACAUGCUAGUCGAGCGCCCCGCAAGGGGAGCGGCAGACGGGUGAGUAACGCGUGGGAAUCUACCCAUCUCUACGGAAUAACUCAGGGAAACUUGUGCUAAUACCGUAUACGCCCUUCGGGGGAAAGAUUUAUCGGAGAUGGAUGAGCCCGCGUUGGGUUAGCUAGUUGGUGGGGUAAUGGCCUACCAAGGCGACGAUCCAUAGCUGGACUGAGAGGAUGAUCAGCCACAUUGGGACUGAGACACGGCCCAAACUCCUACGGGAGGCAGCAGUGGGGAAUAUUGGACAAUGGGCGAAAGCCUGAUCCAGCCAUGCCGCGUGAGUGAUGAAGGCCCUAGGGUUGUAAAGCUCUUUCACCGGUGAAGAUAAUGACUGUAGCCGGAGAAGAAGCCCCGGCUAACUUCGUGCCAGCCGCCGCCGUAAUAC